AGUAAAUAGAUACCCCGGUAGUCCACGCCCUAAACGAUGUCGACUAGGUGUUCGGUGAGGAGACUCAUUGAGUACCGCAGCUAAACGCGUGAAGUCGACCGCCUGGGGAGUACGGUCGCAAGAUUAAAACUCAAAGGAAUUGACGGGGACCCGCACAAGCGGUGGAUGAUGUGGAUUAAUUCGAUGCAACGCGAAAACCUUACCUACCCUUGACAUGUACGGAACCCUGCUGAGAGGUGGGGGUGCUCGAAAGAGAGCCGUAACACAGGUGCUGCAUGGCUGUCGUCAGCUCGUGUCGUGAGAUGUUGGGUUAAGUCCCGCAACGAGCGCAACCCUUGUCAUUAGUUGCUACGCAAGAGCACUCUAAUGAGACUGCCGGUGACAAACCGGAGGAAGGUGGGGAUGACGUCAAGUCCUCAUGGCCCUUAUGGGUAGGGCUUCACACGUCAUACAAUGGUCGGUACAGAGGGUUGCCAAGCCGCGAGGUGGAGCCAAUCCCAGAAAGCCGAUCGUAGUCCGGAUCGCAGUCUGC
rnacentral:rRNA from 1 species